rnacentral:rRNA from 1 species
GACGUAGGGGGCCAGCGUUGUUCGGAAUUACUGGGUGUAAAGGGUUCGUAGGCGGUGCGGCAAGUUGGGAGUGAAAUCUCUGGGCUUAACCCAGAGGCUGCUUCCAAAACUGCUGUGCUUGAGUGUGGGAGAGGCGCGUGGAAUUCCACGUGUAGCAGUGAAAUGCGUAGAGAUGUGGAGGAACACCGAUGGCGAAGGCAGCCCCCUGGGGUAACACUGACGCUCAUGCACGAAAGCGUGGGGAGCAAACAGG